rnacentral:lncRNA from 1 species
UCUGAAAAAUUAAAAAAAAAAAAAAAACAAAGGAAAGAAAAGUGGAAUGAAGCUUGAAUGGUCCAAAAUAUGUAUCUGUAUUGACAUGCAUAACGCAUCAAGUUUUUAAUUAGGCUUUUUAUCUCUAAAGGAUAUCCGUUCUCUUAUCCCCAUCUAGGGUAUCUGUUUUUCUCCUCCCCCAUUUGCUUUAGAAAGAUGUAAGAGUACUGCUCCCUAUGGAUGACGACAUAUCCUUUGACGAGAGUGAUGACGUGAAUAUAUGUUAAAUGACACUUUUGGCUAAGUACUAUCGUGAUCAUAGAAUAUUUGAUGUGACCACUAUGGUGGGUACGGUCGUGAUCAUAGAUCUUACCGUGGUUUGGCAUGCUAGAAAUAUUCCUAAACAAAUUGCCAUUAUCUGUAUCUGAUAUGGUCAUUCCAUAUUAGUAAUCAGAAAUCUGUAUCUGCCUUCAGAGAUGGAAGUCGUAAGGACUUCACGAAGUUUGACACGAAAAAUCUUAGCAUUUCAUGAUUUAUUAUAUUUUCUCUAUUAUCUGUUAUGCUGUGUGUUUGUCUUGAUUAUAUUAACGUGAUGUUUUCUCUAAUAUUUUUCAUAAGGUAAGAUAGGUCUACCAAGUAACCAAAU